rnacentral:lncRNA from 1 species
AAAAACAAAUAGGAUUUCAAAAAUGGGACAACAUAUUUAUCUCGGAAAACAACACAAACAAAAGACAACAAAUGCUAAAUUAUAUCUUUUAUUAUUUACAAGAUAAUAAAUUCAAAAUGUUAAGAUGGAAAUUUCUGCACUACAUUUUACCAACCAAACAAUUACUUUUCUCUUGGAAAAUAACUAAAACUCCGCUAUGUAAUAUUUGUGAUGUCAUCGAAGAUUAUGAACACUACUUUUUAACAUGCAAAUUUCUGAAAUCAUUUUGGGAUCAAAUAAAACUAUUACUUGAUAAACUUAAAAUAGGACAUCAUAUCAUAUCAAUUAAAUCACUUUUGUAC